rnacentral:tRNA from 1 species
GAGUAUGAAAUAAAAUUGGUUUUGCAAAAACUAAUUAGAAUUAUGUUAAUUCCAUACUUU